GAUGAACGCUGGCGGCGUGCCUAAUACAUGCAAGUCGAGCGAACAGACGAGGAGCUUGCUCCUCUGACGUUAGCGGCGGACGGGUGAGUAACACGUGUAUAACCUACCUAUAAGACUGGGAUAACUUCGGGAAACCGGCGCUAAUACCGGAUAAUAUAUUGAACCGCAUGGUUCAAUAGUGAAAGACGGUUUUGCUGUAUCUUAUAGCUGGAUCCGCGCCGCAUUAGCUAGUUGGUAAGGUAACGGCUUACCAAGGCAACGAUGCGUAGCCGACCUGAGGGGGUGGUCGGCCACACGGGAACUGAGACACGGUCCAGACGCCUACGGGAGGCAGCAGUAGGGAAUCUUCCGCAAUGGUCGAAAGUCUGACGGAGCAACGCGGCGUGAGUUAUGAAGGUGUUCGGAUCGUAAAACUCUGUUAUGAGGGAAGAACAAAUUUGUAAGUAACUAUGCACGGAGUGACGGUACCUAAUCAGAAAGCCACGGCUAACUACGUG
rnacentral:rRNA from 1 species